rnacentral:rRNA from 1 species
AUGGGCCUUCAUCCGAGCACACCCUUUGGUAGAAUUAAAAAGUACGUGAAAGGCGAGAAGAAAGGGAAGCGCUUGCAACCAGACUUGUCCGCAGUUGCUCAGCCGGUCUCCUGACCGGCGUACUCUUCUGCGGCCAGGCCAGCAUCAGUUCGGGCGGUCGGAUAAAGGCCUCGGGAAUGUAGCUCCUCUCGGGGAGUGUUAUAGCCCGGGGUGGAAUGCGGCCAGCCUGGACUGAGGAACUCGCUUCGGCAAGGAUGCUGGCGUAAUGGUUGUAAGCGGCCCGUCUUGAAACACGGACCAAG